rnacentral:rRNA from 1 species
GAGUUUGAUCUUGGCUCAGAUUGAACGCUGGCGGCAUGCCUUACACAUGCAAGUCGAACGGUAACAGGUCUUCGGAUGCUGACGAGUGGCGAACGGGUGAGUAAUACAUCGGAACGUGCCCAGACGUGGGGGGAUAACGAGGCGAAAGCUUUGCUAAUACCGCAUACGAUCUAAGGAUGAAAGCAGGGACCGCAAGGCCUUGCGCGUUUGGAGCGGCCGAUGGCAGAUUAGGUAGUUGGUGGGAUAAAAGCUUACCAAGCCGACGAUCUGUAGCUGGUCUGAGAGGACGACCAGCCACACUGGGACUGAGACACGGCCCAGACUCCUACGGGAGGCAGCAGUGGGGAAUUUUGGACAAUGGGCGAAAGCCUGAUCCAGCAAUGCCGCGUGCAGGAUGAAGGCCUUCGGUUGUAACUGCUUUGUACGGUAACGAAAGGACGUCUGGUUAAUACCGUGGGCGACAUGACGGUA